GACUUCAAGACCCAAGGCUGGGCUGUUAAUGUGCAGAGGUUCCAGCUCUCAGGUAAGUACAGAGUUCAAUACACAGGUGAGUAUUCACAGGGCUGGGCUGUUAGCGUGCCGGGGUUCUAGCUCUCAGGUAAAUACAGUGUUCGAUACACAGGUGGGUAUUCACAGGGCUGGGCUGUUAGCGUGCAGGGGUUCUAGCUCUCAGGUAAGUACAGCGUUCAAUACACAGGUGAGUAUUCACAGGGCUGGGCUGUUAGCGUGCCGGGGUUCUAGCUCUCAGGUAAAUACAGUGUUCGAUACACAGGUGGGUAUUCACAG